rnacentral:rRNA from 1 species
UAUUGGACAAUGGGCGCAAGCCUGAUCCAGCCAUGCCGCGUGUGUGAAGAAGGCCUUCGGGUUGUAAAGCACUUUCAGUGGUGAGGAAGGGGAGUACGUUAAUAGCGUGCUUCAUUGACGUUAGCCACAGAAGAAGCACCGGCUAACUCCGUGCCAGCAGCCGCGGUAAUACGGAGGGUGCAAGCGUUAAUCGGAAUUACUGGGCGUAAAGCGCACGUAGGCGGUUUGUUAAGCAAGAUGUGAAAGCCCAGGGCUCAACCUUGGAAUAGCAUUUUGAACUGGCAGACUAGAGUUUUGAAGAGGGUGGUAGAAUUUCCAGUGUAGCGGUGAAAUGCGUAGAUAUGGAAGGAAUACCAGUGGCGAAGGCGGCCACCUGUCAAAAACUGACGCGAGGAGCGAAA